CAAAAUCAAAGUAGAGAUAAAAAAAGCAAGCAAAAAAAAUUUCAAGAUGUUCAACGGCAGAAACAAGAUUUUG
rnacentral:ribozyme from 1 species